UUUUUUUUUUUUUUUUUCCCAGCUUCUGUUCCUGGGUUCCUUGGCAGUCUUCUGUGGUGAGACAUCUAUCUUCCCUCAUUUCGGUUUGUUUCUCUGUGCCUGACCUGCUGGUUUUAUAUCUCAAUGGUAAUUGGUUUAAAACACACCCUACACUGAUACUGCCUGAGAAACAUAACAAAGAAAACCCAUCUCCAAAUGGGAUUAUAAUCACAAGUAUAGGGGUUAUGAUUCACAGCACAUAUUUUGGGGGGACACAAUUCAACCCACAACAACAUCACACUUUUUAUUUUUCACAAGUUACGGAGGGCUAUUUGAAUCUGCCUCUCCAAAUCUGCUAUUCCUCAAAGCACGCUGAUCAAUAUAAAGGCUCCUGGUGUCUGAAAGUAAAUUAAUGGUGGAUUCAGCCCUUAAAUGACCAUAACCCAGAAUCAACCCACCAAGACCUAUGGCCUCUGGCCUGUGUUAUUAUAUUCACUUGGCUGUUAACUGGAUGAGAAACUUAAUAAAGCUAAUUCUCAAAAGAGCAGCAGAAACAAGCAAGGUAGAGGCCCAAAGGGAAAUUUGUCAUCAGUGAAGCCAACCAGGCUCAUGCUGCCUUUUUCUACUUGUAGAGAAGGGAGAUUAAGUUAAUCUUUUAAGCUAAAAUCUUCUAGCAAAUUGUUAACAAUUUAAAGAUCAGUUUAUUCAUUCAACAAUUAUUUAUUAAGUGGCUACCAUGUGUCCAUCACUGCUCUAAAUUCUGCAGAUGCAGCCGACAAUAAAAUACACCAAGCUCCUGUUCUUAAUUUUUAGUGGAGGAAACAAAAAAUAGGAUAUAAGUAAAAUAUAUGCUCGCUAUGAGUUGGAAAUGGCUUGACAGCAAUGGGUUUGAUAUUUAUAGUAUGUCAGAUAGUGAUAACUUGUUUUGGUUCUUGUUAGAUGCCAUCGAGUUGAUUCCAACUCAUAGCAACCCUGUAUACAACAGAACAAAAUAUUGCUCAGUCCUGCACCAUCCUCACAAUCAUUGCUAUGUUUGAGCCCAUUGUUGCAGCCACUGUGUCAAUCCAUCUCGUUGAGGGUCUUCCUCUUUUUUGCUGACCCUCUACUUUACCAAGCGUGAUGUCCUUUUCCAGGGAUUGGUCCUUCCUGAUAACAUGUCCAAAAUAAGUGAGACAACGUCUCGCCAUUCUCGCUUCUAAGGAGCAUUCUGGCUGUACUUCUACCAAGAUAGGUUUAAUUGUUCUUCAGGCAGUCCAUGGUACUUUCAAUAUUCUUUGCCAACACCACAAUUCAAGUGCAUAAAUUCUGCUUUGGUCAUCCUUUUUCAUUGUCCAGCUUUCACAUGUAUAUGAGGUGAUUGAAAAUACCAUGGUUUGGGUCAGACACACCUUAGUCCUCAAAGUGAUAUCUUUGCUUUUUUACACUUAAAGGGGUCUUUUGCAGCAGAUUUGCCCAAUGCAAUGCGUCGUUCGACUUCUUCAUUGCUGCUUCCAUGGAUCUUGCCCUCUCUCCUUUCCUUCUCUUUUUCUAUUCUCCUUCCCCUCCUCUUCGUUCUUCUCCUUUCCCUGCAGGAUGUGGGGCUAUGAAUCUAGAUUUUUCCAGAAAAGAUUUCCUCAAAUAUCUAGUCCACCACAGUUUCAGAAACAGAAGUUGAACAUUUACAUCUCCUGACUUUGAAUAUUCCUUUCAAAAGAGGACUUCCAUUUAUUCACAUAUUCUUUUAGGUCCUUCAGGAGGCAGUCUUUUAAAAAUGUUGUUCAACUAGUUUUUCUUACUUUCUAUGUUUAUUCCAAGGUAUUUGUUCUUUCUAAAAGCACUGCAAAUUAGUUUAUUCCAUUAUGGCUUCUGAUUGAGUAUAUGCAAUCAUUAAUUUUGCUUCUAUCACUUUACUGAAUUAUUGACUCUUUUUUUCCUGAUGCACAGUCCUAUCGCUGCAUAUAGUAAAAAGGUUGCCUCCAUCCUUCCCUUUAAACCUUUAAUUUAUUUCUCUUGCCUGGUUACAUUUGCUUUAAUUCCAGAAAAUGCUAAAUAGUGUUGAUCGUAGUUACUCUUUUCUCUGACUUUAGUGGGAAUACUUCUAAUGUUCUGCAUUAAGAAUGAUGUUGACUUUUUGGCUGAGAUUAUAUUUUACCAUAUUAAAGAAAUAUUUAUCCAUAUUUUCUGGACUUUUUUUUGAGGAAUGGAUAUUGAAUUUUGUCAACAAAUUAUUUUUAGUAUCUGAUUAUUUUUCUCUUUAGAUCAGUUAAUGUUUAUGAAUUAUAAUAACAUAUUUCCUGUUAUUCAAUGUUCUUAUUAUAAACCCCAUUUCAUCAUUCUGUUUUAUCAUUUUAAUGUAUUACUGUACUCCUUUGCUAAUAUUUUAUUCAAGGUGUUUGUAUUUAUUUUUAUAAAUGAUGUUGGUCUAUGGUUUUCUUUUUUGAGUAUUCUAUGUUAGGCUUAGUUUCAAGAUAUUGCUCAUUUCAAAAAUUACAUUUGUAGAUUUUCCAUUAUUUCUAUGCUUUGGACCCGUAAUACUCCAAUAGAAGUUUAUAUGAUGACAGAAAUGCUGUGUUACUGCAUUGUUCAAUAUGGUAGCCACUAGACACACAUGGUUAUUGAGCACUUGAACUGUGGCUAGUGAAUCUGAGAAGUUAAAUUUUAAUUUUCUAUUUUAAGUAGUUUAAAUUGAAAUAACCACAUGUUGCUGUGGCUGCUGCCCUGGACAGCAUAGCACCGGACUGUUAAAUACAAUCAUUUAAAGUUCUGGCAGGCUUUCCUGUAAUGCUGUGUUUGAUGGCUUAUGGGGGCAUAGUGGUUCCCGAACAGUUCCUUUCUCAAUAAAAGUGGAGCUGUUUAGGAAGAAGGAGGGUUAAGAAUCAGAGGAGGAAUUGAAUGUAUGUCCGGUUACUUCCAUGAACAACUGCUCCCUUUGUUACGAGAAAGAAGAGGAUGGUGCCUAACUACCGAUACUGAAUAUUUUGAUCAAGGAUUCUAUAAAAGAAUCCUGAUCAAAAGGAGGGGGGGGAAUAUGGAAUAGAAUUUCAAUUUUCAAUGGAAUCCAGAAUUUAUGGGGCAAAAAAAAAAAAAAUUUUUUUUUUUUUAUUGAGGUGGUAUUAAACCCCCAAAACAGUUACCCUGAGAGAAUUUUUAAGCUUUAAACCCGAACGGCCUCCUGAAAUUGUCUUUGAACCAAAAGAUAACUUAUCUUAAUUAGUAAAGUACAUCUGCUUUGAGCAUUGUGCUCUUUUAAAGAAUUGUCUAUUUGAGAUCAAAUGGGUAAUGGCAACCCAUAAGGUUGAAUGAGAACCUUAGAUGGCAAUGAGUUUAAGAUAAUGGUAGUGGAAUAAUUUGAGAAAGGAUAGUGAAAAUGGUAGCACAGCUUGAAGAAUGUAAUCAAUGUCUCUGAAUUGCACAUGUAGAAAGUGCUGAAAUUGUGUAUCUUUGGCUGUGUAUACAUUCACCAAAAUAAACAAAAAAUUUAAGUAGACCUGUUUAGACUUUGUACCUCUGGAGUCAUUUUGGUAAAUUAUCUUUUUCUUAGAUAUUUGAUAUUUUAGACACCUAUGCUUUCUUUUUUCUUGAUUAAGAAAGCUAGCUCUUUAUUUCAUUGGUAUUUUGAAAGAACCAGUUUUUGGAUUUGUUUUUUGUUUUGGCUGACUCAUUAAUUUCCACUUUUAUUAACUCCUUCCUUCUGAUUAUUUUGUCUCAUUUGACUUUUUUUUGGACAUGUAUUGUUUUAUUUUUAAUUUUGAAUCGAUUUUAAGUAUUUAAGACCAAGUACUUAAUUCUUUAGUUAGUAUGCCACCAAUUCCGAUGUCUAGUGUUUUCAUUAUUGUUAUUUUAUAGAUAUUCUGCACUAUUGCUUGUCUUUCCUCUAUGAUCCAACACCUUAGAGAAAUCUAAGUGGAGAGACAUUCCAUAUUUUCUGAUAUAAGUACUUCUUAUUAUAAAUCAAUUUCCCAAAAAUUAAUUUAUACAUUGAAUGCAACCUUAAUAAAAAUUCUCAUCAAAGUUUUUUUGAGGCAGCCAAAAAGUAAAGGCUCACUAUUGGCCAAGUCUACCUUAAAAUAGAAUAAAUUGGAGAGUAUUGCCCCCCUGGGUAUUAAGAUAUACUACAAAGGCAUAGUGACAAUAACACUGGGAUGCUUGUACAAUAACAAUUUUAAAAAAACGGAGUAGAUUAAAGAGCUCAAGAUUAUAUCUGUGUAUAUUUAGGAACUUAAUACAUAAUAAAGGGGACAUCAAACUUAACGGGAAAAAACACAAUUAUUUAGUAGGUGUUAUUAGUCAGAAUCUAAUUGAUGGCAGUGGGGUUUUUUUUUAUGGAAAAAUAAACACUUUACACGGAGAAAAAUUAAAACUGGAUUCCCACUUAACACCACAAAGUUGGACUCCCAAUUUUUGCAAAACACUUAAAAUUCAAUGGUAAAGUUGUAAAGGUAAUAGAAAAUGUAGGAGAAGAUGUUUGUAACCUAAGAAUUGGGAAGCACUUCUGAACAAAACUUCAGAAAGUAGAAACCUUCUGGUAAGAAAAAAAAAGCCUUACCUUUUGGAAGAAAAAAAAAAGUCAUCAAUUGGAAAAAUUGAUUGAAGAUUGCUGUUCAAAGAAAGACAGCUUCGAGAAUUAAUAGCCAUAUGGAAAAAUAAAAGAUUUUUGACAAGAGCUGAACCCCAUGAGAAAAUGACAUCUAGAAUACAAGUGAAAUUUCUGAAAAGUAAUAAUAACAAUAGACCAACCCCAGUAGAAAAAUGAUUAAAGAUGUGAAGUUCCAUAUUUGCAUUGUUUGAUUUAGUAGCCUCAAUUUUUUUUUUUUUUUAAGCUACAACCUUGCCAACACUUGAAAGUGUCAGUCUUUAUUAUGUAAACUACUCUGAUGUGUAAGUAGUUGUUUCACUGUUGGCUUUACUUUGCGUUUCCUGACAACUGAUGUGGAGUUCAAGGAGCCCUGGUGGUGCCAUGGUUAAAGCGCUUACUGCUAACUGAAAGUUUGGCAAUUGGAACCCAUCAGCCGCUUCAAGGAAGAAGGAUGUGGCAGUCUGCUUCCAUAAAGAUUUACUACCUUGGAAAUCCUGUGGGACAGUUCUACUCUGUCCUAUAGGCUCGCUACAAGUCGGGAUUGACUAGAUGGCGAACCACUCUCGCUUGCUGGCUUUGAGGAAGCAAGCUGGCUGCAUAUGCAAAGGGCCGAGCAGCAAAGACCUGAGGGUGGCCUCCAGCUGACAGCCAAGAAGGAACUGAAUUCUGCUAAAAUCGCAUGAGUUUCGAAGUAGAUCCUUCCCCAGUUGAGCCUCAGAUGAGGUUUCAUCCCUGGCCAACACCUUGAUUGAAGUUUUAUAAGACCAUGAAUCAGAGGACCCAGCUAAAUGAACUUUGCCUUGUGGCUCUGCUGGUGACAUUUGAGCUUUUCUUUUCCUUCCCAGAGAAGCUAGUAUUUCCACAAUAUCUGAUCCUGUCCUUUGGGACAAUUCCUGUUCGUAGAGAAGCCUGACGACAAGUCCCUGGAGCCUGAAGUGCCUGUUUAAAGCGAGGAUACAUGUUUGCUAGAGGAUAUUUUCAAGCUAACGACAAUAACUGUCACCAAAAAAAAAAAAAAUUAAGAAGAGACGAUGUGAAAAAUAAAAACCUAUCUUAUCAAGUAUAAUUAUAUCCUCUCAGUUUUCAAGCCUUUUCAGGUAUUUCAUCAUUAUCAUCAUCAUCAUUCCCAGCAUUAUUGGAGAAUGUGGUAUUUGUGCUUUACCCUCCAUAACAACUCAGUUAUCACCAUUUUUAAAAGCAGAAAUUGAGGCUUGGAGAAAUUUGCCUGUGGUCACACAAUUAAAAAGUACUGGUGGUGGUUGGCAUCAAACAUAGAUAUAACUCAAGUGCUGCCAUCCACAACUAUGGUAUCAUCUACUCUUUUGUGCGUCCACUAAACCUUGUAAUAUAGUAGCAGCUCUCUUAAACAACUUCCA